rnacentral:rRNA from 1 species
GAUGAACGCUAGCUACAGGCUUAACACAUGCAAGUCGAGGGGCAUCAUGCGGAUUGCUUGCGAUCCGUGAUGGCGACCGGCGCACGGGUGAGUAACGCGUAUCCAACCUUCCCGCUGCAGGGGGAUAACCCGGUGAAAGCCGGACUAAUACCCCAUAAUCCCCGUUGACGGCAUCCGAUUCGGGGCAAAGUUUUUUUCGGCAGCGGAUGGGGAUGCGUCCGAUUAGUUAGUUGGUGAGGUAACGGCUCACCAAGGCUUUGAUCGGUAGGGGUUCUGAGAGGAAGGCCCCCCACAUUGGGACUGAGACACGGCCCAAACUCCUACGGGAGGCAGCAGUGAGGAAUAUUGGUCAAUGGGCGCAAGCCUGAACCAGCCAAGUAGCGUGGAGGAUGACUGCCCUAUGGGUUGUAAACUCCUUUUAUGCGGGGAUAAAAUGUUUCACGUGUAGAUAUUGCAGGUACCGGCAUAAUUAGGAACGGGUAUUCAA